rnacentral:rRNA from 1 species
CCCUUAGAUGUUCUGGGAUGCACGCGCGUUACACUGAUUCGUUCAACGAGUUUAUGACCUUGCCUGAUGAGGUGGGGGAAUCUUUUCAAAUCGCAUCGUGAUGGGGAUAGAGUAUUGUAACUGUUAGUCUUCAACGAGGAAUUCCUAGUAAGUACGUGUCAUCAGCUCGUACUGAUUAUGUCCCUGCCCUUUGUACACACCGCCCGUCGCACCUACCGAUUGAAUGGUCCGGUGAAGCCUCCGGAUUGGCGCGCACCUCGGUGCCGCCGAGAAGUUGGCUAAACCUUACCAUUUAGAGGAAGGUGAAGUCGUAACA